GUGGGGAAUUUUGCACAAUGGGCGAAAGCCUGAUGCAGCAACGCCGCGUGUGUGAUGAAGGUCUUCGGAUCGUAAAGCACUUUCGACCGGGACGAACAAGCCUGGCCACACCAGGCCCUGACGGUACCGGGAGAAGAAGCACCGGCUAACUCUGUGCCAGCAGCCGCGGUAAUACAGAGGGUGCAAGCGUUGUUCGGAAUUAUUGGGCGUAAAGCGCGUGUAGGCGGCUUAGCAAGUCGGGCGUGAAAGCCCUCGGCUCAACCGAGGAAGUGCACCCGAAACUGCUGAGCUUGAGUGCCGGAGAGGAUGGCGGAAUACCCCAAGUAGAGGUGAAAUUCGUAGAUAUGGGGUGGAACACCGGUGGCGAAGGCGGCCAUCUGGACGGUAACUGACGCUGAGACGCGAAAGCGUGGGGAGCAAACAGGAUUAGAAACCCUAGUAGUCC
rnacentral:rRNA from 1 species